rnacentral:rRNA from 1 species
UACGUAGGGGGCAAGCGUUGUCCGGAUUUAUUGGGCGUAAAGAGCGUGUAGGCGGCCAUACAGGUCAGCUGUGAAAACUCGAGGCUCAACCUCGAGACGUCGGUUGAAACCGUAUGGCUAGAGUCCGGAAGAGGAGAGUGGAAUUCCCGGUGUAGCGGUGAAAUGCGCAGAUAUCGGGAAGAACAUCGGUGGCGAAAGCGCUCUGCUGGACUGCAACUGACACUCAGGGACGAAAGCUAGGGGAGCGAAUGGG